CGGCGUAAAGCGUGGUUAGGACAAUAGACUAAUAGGGCCGAAUAACCUCAAGACAGUUAAAUGUAUUCGAGGCCACUAAGCACAUCCACGAAAGUGACCCUAACAGCUCUGACUCCACGAAAGCUAUAACAUAAACUGGGAUUAGAUACCCCACUAUAUAUAGUCGUUAAAAUUAAUGGUACUUUACUCGAACCAUUCGCCCGGGAAUUACAAGCCCAAGCUUAAAACCCAAAGGACCUGGCGGUGCUUUAGAUCCCCCUAGAGGAGCCUGUUCUGUAACUGACAAUCCCCGGUAAACCUCACCACCCCUUGCUAAAUCAGCUUAUAUACCGCCGUCGCAAGCUUACCCUACUGAAGGUCAAAAAGUGAGCCCCAACAGUAAUACUGCAAACGUCAGGUCGAGGUGUAGCAUAUGAGGUGGGAAGAAAUGGGCUACAUUCCCUAAUGAAGAGAUCACGGAUGGCGGUUUGAAAAUAACUGCACUAAAGGAGGAUUUAGUAGUAAGGAAGGAACAGAGUGCCCUCCUGAACACGGCCCUGAAGCACGUACAAACCGCCCGUCACUCUCUCCGAGAUAUCUUUAUUAAUGCCUAAUACGUAAUAAUUCAAGAAGGCGAGAAAAGUCGUAACAUGGUAAGUGUACCGGAA
rnacentral:rRNA from 1 species